GGAAUCUUGCGCAAUGGGCGAAAGCCUGACGCAGCAACGCCGCGUGCGGGAAGAAGGCUUUCGGGCUGUAAACCGCUUUCAGUAGGAACGAAACUGACGGUACCUACAGAAGAAGGAGCGGCCAACUAUGUGCCAGCAGCCGCGGUGACACAUAGGCUCCAAGCGUUGUCCGGAUUUAUUGGGCGUAAAGAGCUCGUAGGCGGUUGAGUAAGUCGGGUGUGAAAACUUUGGGCUUAACCCAAAGAUGCCACUCGAUACUGUUCAACUUGAGUUUGGUAGGGGAGUGGGGAAUUCCUUGUGUAGCGGUGAAAUGCGCAGAUAUAAGGAGGAACACCGGUGGCGAAGGCGCCACUCUGGGCCAAUACUGACGCUGAGGAGCGGAAGCGUGGGGAGCAAACAGGAUUAGAUACCCUGGUAGUCCACGCGGUAAACGGUGGUCACUAGGUGUGGGUCUCUUCAAACGAGAUCUGCGCCGUCGCUAACGCAUUAAGUGACCCGCCUGGGGAGUACGGUCGCAAGACUAAAACUCAAAGGAAUUGACGG
rnacentral:rRNA from 1 species